AACGUAGGUGGCAAGCGUUAUCCGGAAUUACUGGGCGUAAAGGGUGUGCAGGCGGGGCUGCAAGUGGUGUAUGAAAUCUCCCAGCUUAACUGGGAGCGGUUAUGCCAGACUGCAGUUCUAGAGGACGAGAGAGGGGGGUGGAAUUCCGGGUGUAGUGGUGAAAUGCGUAGAGAUCCGGAGGAACCCCAGAGGCGAAGGCGGCCCCCUGGCUCGUACCUGACGCUCAGCCACGAAAGCAUGGGGAGCGAACGGG
rnacentral:rRNA from 1 species